rnacentral:rRNA from 1 species
GAGUGAAGCGGCAACAGCUCAAAUUUGAAAUCUGGCUCUUUCAGGGUCCGAGUUGUAAUUUGUAGAGGGUGCUUUGGAGUUGACUGUGGUCUAAGUUCCUUGGAACAGGACGUCGCAGAGGGUGAGAAUCCCGUAUGUGGCCGCCAGUCUUCGCCGUGUAAAGCCCCUUCGACGAGUCGAGUUGUUUGGGAAUGCAGCUCUAAAUGGGAGGUAAAUUUCUUCUAAAGCUAAAUAUUGGCCAGAGACCGAUAGCGCACAAGUAGAGUGAUCGAAAGAUGAAAAGCACUUUGGAAAGAGAGUCAAAAAGCACGUGAAAUUGUUGAAAGGGAAGCGCUUGCAGCCAGACUUGCCUGUAGUUGCUCAUCCGGGCUCUUGCCCGGUGCACUCUUCUAUAGGCAGGCCAGCAUCAGUCGCGGCGGUCGGAUAAAUGCCUGCGGAAUGUACCUCUCUUCGGGGAGGACUUAUAGCCGCGGGCGGCAUACGACCAGCUGCGAUUGAGGUCCGCGCAUCUGCUAGGAUGCUGGCGUAAUGGCUGUAAGCGGCCCGUCUUGAAACACGGACCAAGGAGUCUAACAUCUAUGCGAGUGUUUGGGUGUCAAGCCCGAGCGCGUAAUGAAAGUGAACGGAGGUGGGAACCCCUCGGGGCGCACCAUCGACCGAUCCUGAUGUCUUCGGAUGGAUUUGAGUAAGAGCAUAGCUGUUGGGACCCGAAAGAUGGUGAACUAUGCCUGAAUAGGGUGAAGCCAGAGGAAACUCUGGUGGAGGCUCGCAGCGGUUCUGACGUGCAAAUCGAUCGUCAAAUUUGGGCAUAGGGGCG